GUGCCCCGGGGCUGCAGAGAAGACAGCUCUCACCCCGCGUGUGCCAAGGUGGAGUAUGCCUACAGCGACAACAGCCUGGACCCCGGGCUUUUUGUAGAAAGCACCCGCAAGGGGAGUGUAGUGUCCAGAGCUAAUAGCAUCGGUUCCACCAGUGCCUCUUCUGUCCCCAACACAGGUAGGCAGUAACAUCCCCCCCGACCUCGGGGGGCUCAGAUAUGUCAUAAUUGUAGUACCUUUCCUAGACAGGGAAGCCCCAGCCAUCCACACAGGGGUGCUGGAGCCAAAGUAUCAGACACAAGGUCUCACCAUCUUUCACCUCAUCUGGAACAUUAGGUGGUUCUGUCCAUCUGCCUUCUCUGGACACCAGGUUCUUCCCAGCUGGGGAAAGGUGGGCUAGCUGGACCCCACUGGGCCCCAAGAUGACCUUUCCCUGCCCCCAUCUCUGAGCGUAGAUGAUGAGGACAGUGAUUACCACCAGGAGGCCUACAAGGAGUCCUACAAAGACCGGCGGCGG
rnacentral:lncRNA from 1 species